UUAGAUAUCUAAGGGUCAAUAAAAUAUUCUGUUGUUCAGUUGAUGUAUAGAUAGAGAUAACUGAUACCAGAUGGUAUUAUAUUUAGAAACCUCAUCAAGAUAAGAACCAAUGAAGAUGCAAUGUUUGGCUGCCGAAGCUCAAAAAGUAGUCCCAAUUUUUUUCUGUUUCUUUUACUAUUACAAUCAUCUAUGCAAAUUAAAUCAGUAAAUACUUUAACAAAUCCCCCUUGUACUGUACAUACAUAUAUUAUUAGCACUCUAAAUGUUCAAAUCAGAACUUAAGUACACCAAAGGAAAUUGCCCAUGAAUAUGAAAAUUUGAAUGAAUUAACUGUAAACAGGAAGUUCUUUGUUGGAGGAAAAUAAAAUGGAGAUAAACUUUGUUGCUAGAAAUUUUAAAAUGGCUAUUAGACAGACAUUAGAAAAAAUGUUUAUCAGAAGUAUGUCCUCAGAAACACACAUGCAUGAAUCAUGAUCAGUGACCACACUGCAGAAUAGAUUGGGAUCACAGAGAGACAUCAUCAAACAGAUCACAUAUGUUUCAAUAUGAAAUUGUUGGAAAGAAGUUCCCGAACACGACUCCAGUGCUUCUAAAGCUGCCUGAAGCCAACAGAACUCCAAAAAUGUUGUUUUUUUAUGCCCCCGAAGGGAGGCAUAUAGUUUUUGAACCGUCUGUCUGUCUGUCGGUCUGUCAGUCUGUCGGUCUGUCCGCAGUUUUCGUGUCCGGUCCAUAUCUUUGUCAUCAAUGGAUGGAUUUUCAAAUAACUUGGCAUGAAUGUGUACCACAGUAAGACGACGUGCAGUGUGCAAGACCCAGGUCCGUAGCUCAAAGGUCAAGGUCACACUUAGACGUUAAAGGAUAGUGCAUUGAUGGGCGUGUCUGGUCCAUAUCUUUGUCAUCGAUGGAUGGAUUUUCAAAUAACUUGGCAUGAAUGUGUACCACAAUAAGACGACGUGCAGUGCGCAAGACCCAGGUCCGUAGCUCAAAGGUCAAGGUCACACUUAGACGUUAAAGGAUAGUGCAUUGAUGGGCGUGUCCGGUCCAUAUCUUUGUCAUCGAUGGAUGGAUUUUCAAAUAACUUGGCAUGAAUGUGUACCACAGUAAGACGACGUGCAGUGCGCAAGACCCAGGUCCAUUGCUCAAAGGUCAAGGUCACACUUAGACGUUAAAGGAUGGUGCAUUGAUGGGCGUGUCUGGUCCAUAUCUUUGUCAUCGAUGGAUGGAUUUUCAAAUAACUUGGCAUGAAUGUGUACCACAGUAAGACGACGUGUCGCACGCAAGACCCAGGUCCGUAGCUCAAAGGUGAAGGUCACACUUAGACGUUAAAGAUCAUUUUUCAUGAUAGUGCAUUGAUGGGCAUGUCCGGUCCAUAUCUUUGUCAUUCAUGCAUGGAUUUUAAAAUAACUAUGCAUGAAUGUGUGGCACAGUAAGACAAUGUGUCGCGCGCAAGACCCAGCUCCGUAGGUCAAAGGUCCUAAACUCUAACAUCGGCCAUAACUAUUCAUUCAAAGUGCCAUCGGGGGCAUGUGUCAUCCUACGGAGACAGCUCUUGUUUGUUGUAUAAACUGUCAAUAAAUGAUUAUUUAAUAAAUUUUGAACUUGAACAGAAAUAAUUAUUAUUUUUCCCAAUAAAUUCCUGGGAUCCUGGUUUUCUUAGAUUUUCCUCGGAUCCUGGUUUUCUUAGAUUUUCCUCAGAUCCUGGUGUUCCAAGAUUUUCCUGGCUACCAGGUAGAUUCCAGGAUUUUCCUGGUUACCAGGUAGAUUCCAGGAUUUUAUAUUCCUAGGUCAUCCUGGAAUAUUCCUGUUCCAAUACUGCACCUGGUAUUUUCCUGGUCCAGGACCAGGCGUUUCCUGGGAAAUUCCUAGGAAUAUUUCCCAGGAUUUUCUCAGGAAAUUCCCAGGAUAUUCCUGGGAAUUUCUGCACGGGCUAUUUAUUAGUAAAUGACAUUUUCCCCAAUAUGCAAAACUUUCCUCAUCAAAUGCAGGAAAUGCAAUGAAUGUUGUCAAGAACCAAUUACACAAACAUAAACUAGAGGAAAAAACUACAUCUUAUCAGUAUAUUUUAAAAUUACAAUAAGAUUUCAAAAGUACUUAAAUCAUAUUUAUUUAUUUAUUAUCCCCUGACAAAAGUCGGAGGGAUAUAGUUUUGGCGUUGUCCAUCCGUCUUUCCGUCCAUCCGGAGCCAUGUCUAGGAAAUGGUUGGGAAUAUUUAUAUAUUACUUCAUACACAUGUUCACCACUAUGAGUUUUUGUGGCCCGCCAAGUUUCAGUUAGAUUGCCCUAGUAACACCAGAGUUAUGGCCCUUAGAAGUUUCUAGUGUUAACUAUAUAGGGUACUAUAAAUAUGGCAAUUUCUGCAUCAUAACUUUUGAUAUAUUUGACCUAGAACUAUGAAACUUAAACAGACUUUAGAUCACCAUAAUGUGGUUGUGUACACAAAGUCGUUCAGAUUUGUUUUGUAAAUUAAGAGUUAUUGCCCUUUAAUUGUAUAAAAAUCCACAUAUUUGUACAUAACAAACUUACCAUUUGGUAGAAUUUCAUUAAAUUUCUUUCAUUCUUUUCCAUGAACAUUUAUUGUAAACAUGUGAAGUUGUGUACCCACACCUGGUCACCCCCUUACCUU